rnacentral:misc_RNA from 1 species
AUCACUACAGAUACACAUAUCCUAUUUAUUUAUGGUACAUAUCUUAACAUCCCACAAAUCUUGACCAAGCAGAUAAAACUACAUACGAGUGCUCCAAGUGCUAUAAUUAUUAUUAUUGAGUUUUUCUAGAGUGCUUAACGAAGUCGACAUAUCCACCAUAUUGACUUGGUUAUUUUCUCCAAUUAAUUAACUAAGUUUGGUCCUGACUAACAAGCUCUACAGUCCCAGACUGUCCACGAGCCGCAUCUCCUUCGAUCCCUGAUUGAUGACUGAUAAUGCCACUCCUUGACAAAUUAAUACGAUCCUGACUCUCGGCUUUUAGAAGACCUGAUCCCAGACCAAUGCAUUCCACAACCCGGCUGUGUUCGACAGAGUCUCCUUUUGCAGCACUUGAAUUUUCAUGGUCCCUGACCGCUUGCUUUGAUACUGGUCCUUGACUGCCUGCACUAAUACAAGCAAAACUUCGAGCAACACCUCGAUAAAUACCACGAUUAAUGAUCUCAGACCGUCGGACUCUGAUAUCACUUAUUGGGAUAUCUUUAUGCUCUGAUACCACUUGUUGAAAAUUGGAGGAUGAAAAAAGAUGGACUUGUAUGAAUAAAACUUUUAUUAGGAAGGACUGAAUUGUAAUUUUACAAUUCCAUUGAACACUCACAGCAACACACUAAUUUCCUCUCACUCACGCCAACACAGUAACACACACUAGACUCUCUCUUGGACACUCACACACAUUCAUGUGUACACAGUCCCACACAAAUGUUCCUCACAUUCUCUCUUACGCUCUUUCAAAUUUUUGGUACAAAAUAAACACAGCACACACUUGCGCAUAUUUAUAGUAGUUUUUAGGCGGUGACUAAAGUGAUACAGCUUACAAGUUAAGUCGGUAAUUUGAAGCUCAUUGAAGUUUCUUGAACGGCGGUGAUAAGUUUCUAGUUGCUUCUGGUAUUCUCCAAGUCAGUAAUGAAGCUUCAAUAGUGUUCUUGAAUGGGGGUGAUCAAAACACCAAAUUUUUCUCCAAUAAUGAAGAAGCUUCUGGAGAUUUAGAGAGGUGGUGAUGUUAUUCUUCUUAUUGGUUUUAUUUCAGUGGAACACGAUUGAUAGAGGUGGUAAUUUUUUAUUGAUUUUCAUUUUCGUAUCCUUUUUAGGAUGGAGGUAGAAUCUUUGGUUCUAUGACCCCUGUUUGGAAUUAUCCUUAGAUAUACUAAUUGAACCAAUCCUAAUUACUUUGUUUCAUUUUUAAUGGAUUGAUGCUUAAUAGCUCCAUGUUUGGAAUGUAGAAAAAUCCCAAGCAAUAAUAAGUUCAAAGGAGUUCUUGAGUUAACCGGGUGACUUAGUGAUAAUGUGGAGGUGUUUGAUUGAUUAAAUGAUAGUUAUUAUUUGUUUGAAAGACCUGAAAGAGGUAAAAUUUAUUAGUGUAGACCCUGAAUUUCAUGUGAAUAUGUUUGACAGGACUCCUUGACAAUCUGUGUUCUUUUCUUGUUGCUUUUAAUAAGUUCAUCAAAUAGGAAAUUUUGUUCAGCUCUUUCUUGUCUCUUUCUUUUAUAAUAAUGCUCAAUAUUUUAUAUUGGAUUUGUGUUAUUUUUUCUAUUUUACGUGUUUCAUUAAUGAAUGAAGGUUCUAUCGACAUCGAGGAUGGUGAAUGUUCUGCUUUCUCCAUCGUUAAGUCGCAAAUGCUUAAUUCUUGAUGUUGACAGUUUCAGUAACCAGUACAUCCCUGGGAUAGCAAGUCUACUUUGCUGUUCAUAUAACCUACAUGAAUUGGUUAUAAAUAUAUGCCCUGACAUCACAUGUAAAGAGGUAUGAUGAUUAGAAUCAAAUCUCAUAUCAAAGUAUAAAUUUUGAAUUUAUUGUGAUGUGCCUAUGAGAAGUUAAAUGGAGGGGUUUUCAUAUUCUUGUCUCAAUGAAUUUGCUCUGAGACUAGCAAGUAAGUUGAACAACUAUACAUCAUUUUAUUUGCCAACCAAACUCAUUCUUCAGUAGCUACAUUUUGGAGAUGCCUUUAAAUUGCAUGCAUGUAUUGGUGUUUCAUUUGAGUACUUGCUUAUGCUAUUGAAAUCAUUAUUUGUAGUUCUAUGCUGACUCAGACUUCUCCAACUCUGAUGAUUUUGGGGAGAAUUAUUGGAAGUCACAGAAGAUAAUUUUCAGCCAUUUAUUGUUGAAUCUCAAGACUGUUAAGAUAUCCAAACUCAUGAAAAGAGAAAGAGGUUGUAGCCUUGAACGUGUGUUUACAUUUCUGGGGUUUCUGCUCAAGAAUGCAAGUGUGCUGGAGAAGAUGGUUUUAUAUGGUUCGCGUCUUGGACGAGAUGUUCUCUUUGUGGCCUCAAAAUUGUUAAGUAUCCCAAGGCGUUCUCCUCAUGCUGUGGUUUUGUUUCAGAAAAAACUGAUGACAUAAGUCCAGUAAAUAUAUAGUUCUUUAUAAAAAACAGAAAAAAGAAAAAUUCAAAAGAACUUGUUUUGAUUGCAAUUGCCCAAGUUGUUUGUGGUAUCCUCUCCUUCAAAAAAUUGCAACUUAGAUCAAGAUUUUCAAGAAAAUGUGAACUUCCUAUCUCAAAGGGAAUAUUUUCUGUUAAAUUAUUGUGACUCAAAUUCGAAAGCAAUAAACUUGAAAACUUUCCAAGUUUUUUCAGG